rnacentral:rRNA from 1 species
AUUGAACGCUGGCGGCAGGCCUAACACAUGCAAGUCGAGCGCGCGGCGCACACGUGUGUGUUGUCUGGGAAAAUGUGUGAUGUGGGGGGAUAACUCUUGGAGACGGUGGCUAAUAUAGCAUACGCUCAGAUGUGCCCCGAUGGGAUUAGCUAGUAGGUGGGGGAACGGCUCACCUAGGCGACGAUCCCUAGCUGGUCUGAGAGGAUGACCAGCCACACUGGAACUGAGACACGGUCCAGACUCCUACGGGAGGCAGCAGUGGGGAAUAUUGCACAAUGGGCGCAAGCCUGAUGCAGCCAUGCCGCGUGUGUGAAGAAGGCCUUCGGGUUGUAAAGCACUUUCAGCGGGGAGGCGUUACCCGCAGAAGAAGCACCGGCUAACUCCGUGCCAGCAGCCGCGGUAAUUC